CCAGAACCGAUUCCUCCGCUGGGCCUGCAAGUGGAACACAAGUAUUGCCCCAGGUGACCAAGCAGUACAAGAAAGAACAAAAAAACCCAGCAGCACUGACCCGAUAUCUACUGGAUGUUCCCACUUUCGGUCUCUGUGGCUCCUCUCGGCGGCCAUCAGGAUAUGCAUGUUUGUAAAAACAGUUCCCUCCAAACGGACAGCUCCCACGGCCUUCGUCAAAAUACCUGCAUGGCUUGUUGCUGGAAAGGAAAAUAUCGCAACCCUUACUCACAGCAGACCCAACUGGAUUUCAGAAUUGCAUUUACCUAUAGUCCGAGAGGAUCUCAGGUACCAUUUGAAGCUGAAGACAUUUUGCCAGUAAAACACACACAGAAAUGAUGUAUUACACAAUGUGCAUACCCAGUACGUGUGUGGGUCGAUGCAUGCAUAGGGACGCUGAUGAUUCACAGUGCGCAAGCUUGUACUACCUUAUGGAUAUACCACCAGUGUUUUGUGUGCAUAUGGGAAAGACUGAGGUCAAAGUACAUAGGAAUAGCUUAGUGACUGUGUGGCUGCAUGCAUCUGUGGGUGGAUAGGUAAGGACGCACUUCACAAGUGGGGGUGGAAAGGAGGUAUGAGAGGGCUUUACAUCAACACCCUUCUUCUCCAGGUGUGCCCUUAUCUCUGCAGUCUCAACUUGGCAAUAGGCUGCAGUGCUCGUACCUCAUUGCCUCCUUGUAUUUCUGAAUGAGUUUCUGCUUCUCUUCCUUCUCCUCCACCCAGUACUCACUUGGAAUGACAAAGUUAGAUGUGAUCCGACAUUCUGGGCAGGACCUGGGGAAUGAACAGACCGUGCUGCAAAAUUCCACAUUACAGGGCGCUCUCUCCUAUAUAACAAGACAUGGCCUAUAUCCAUCUUUAAAGAUGUAUUGUACUGCACACUUGCUGUAUGGACUUUUCAAUCUAGAUUUUCUCUUACACAUGAAGACAUCCUUAAUUCUCUUUAAGAGCUUAACUUGGCAGCUGGUCAGCUUGAAAAAACACUUCACACAGACUCCUUUUUCUUUAGAAUUGAAUGAAUUUAUUUUGGUUUGAUUUCUGUAUUUAUUGGAUUGGAUUUUUUUUUUUUUUAGAACAGUCUUUAAAUGGAGAAAUGGUUUG